rnacentral:rRNA from 1 species
GCUUAACACAUGCAAGUCGAGCGGUAAGGCCCUUCGGGGUACACGAGCGGCGAACGGGUGAGUAACACGUGGGUGAUCUGCCUCGUACUUCGGGAUAAGCCUGGGAAACUGGGUCUAAUACCGGAUAUGACCUCAGGAUGCAUGUCUUGUGGUGGAAAGAUUUAUCGGUGCGAGAUGGGCCCGCGGCCUAUCAGCUUGUUGGUGGGGUAAUGGCCUACCAAGGCGACGACGGGUAGCCGACCUGAGAGGGUGACCGGCCACACUGGGACUGAGACACGGCCCAGACUCCUACGGGAGGCAGCAGUGGGGAAUAUUGCACAAUGGGCGGAAGCCUGAUGCAGCGACGCCGCGUGAGGGAUGACGGCCUUCGGGUUGUAAACCUCUUUCGACAGGGACGAAGCGUGAGUGACGGUACCUGUAGAAGAAGCACCGGCCAACUACGUGCCAGCAGCCGCGGUAAUACGUAGGGUGCGAGCGUUGUCCGGAAUUACUGGGCGUAAAGAGCUUGUAGGCGGUUCGUCGCGUCGAUCGUGAAAACCUACCGCUCAACGGUGGGCUUGCGGUCGAUACGGGCGGACUAGAGUACUUCAGGGGAGACUGGAAUUC